AACAAGCUCAAGUUGUUCUGGUUCUACUGUGAUAUUAGAUUCUCCUAAAUCGGAAGAACGACAAGAAAAUAAUUUUAUUUACGGAUUUCGUGCAGCGACGUCCCCAGAUAAUCGUACCCCAAGUAGUGCUAUCCAAUCGUAUGUGCAGGCUCUUUUGGAAGGAGGGGCCUUAAAUCGUACAGCCAUAUCUGAAUUAACAUCGGACAGUGAUGAGACACAUAAUAAUACAAAUAUAGACGAAAAACCUAAACACUUUUAUAAGUUGAAAAUGUUACAUCAGCGUUUUGUGAAAAUAAGAUUUGAUAGAUUAGCUCUACUAGCUGUGUUAGACAGGAACAUAUCAUAUAUAGAGAACAUAAUAGCUGUGAUAAUGGCAGUGGCUGUAGGGGCAUUAGGUGCUCUUGUUUUAUCAUCCCAUUUCUAUCAGGAUUUCUGGAUAUUUGUUUUCUGUUUUAUACUAGCUGGUUGUCAAUACUGUCUGCUCAAGAGUGUACAACCUGAUGCUGCAUCACCAAUGCAUGGUUACAAUCGAAUGAUUGUUUUUAGCCGUCCAUUUUAUUUUUGUGUAUUCUGUGGCCUCAUCUUGUUGUUAGAUUAUUUGAGUAAAAUAGUUGGUAAUGAGACUCUAACUCUUUACGGAAGGCCUUUUUCUGUUCUGUCUUCGUUGACGUUUACCAGGGAUCUUCUCAAAGUAUUUAUUCUGUGUUUCCCACUGUUAUUUACGUUAGGUCUACUACCUCAAGUUAAUACCUUUAUUAUGUUUGUACUCGAACAGAUCGAUAUGAACGUUUUUGGUGGAAAUGCUACAACCAGCGUAACAUCAGCAUUAUACUGUGUUAUAAGAAGCAUGUUUGCUGUAGCCGUGCUUUAUGGUUUCUCAUACGCAGCUUUACAGGAUGUGGAUGGAGAGCUGUAUCCAUGUAAUGAUAAAAUAGAUAUAGAAGCUGCUCAGAAUCCGAUAUUUUCUAUAUUCUGUGCCCUAUUAGUCUCUAUAUCAUAUCAUCUUAGUCGUAGUGCCAGUGACCCUAGUAUAUUGUGGUAAAUAUAAACUUAAACAUACAUUACGCAAGAUGGCAUGUUAAACAUAUAUUAUACAAGAAACUCUCGAUGCCAUCGUUAUUGUAAAUACUAUAAAACAUACAUUAUACAAGAGCUAAAUCUGCUUUAGGC